AGAGACCGGCGCACGGGUGCGUAACGCGUAUGCAAUCUACCUUUCACAGAGGGAUAGCCCAGAGAAAUUUGGAUUAAUACCUCAUAGUAUAGCAGUUUCGCAUGAAACCACUAUUAAAGUCACAACGGUGAAAGAUGAGCAUGCGUCCCAUUAGCUAGUUGGUAAGGUAACGGCUUACCAAGGCAACGAUGGGUAGGGGUCCUGAGAGGGAGAUCCCCCACACUGGUACUGAGACACGGACCAGACUCCUACGGGAGGCAGCAGUGAGGAAUAUUGGACAAUGGGCGCAAGCCUGAUCCAGCCAUGCCGCGUGCAGGAUGACGGUCCUAUGGAUUGUAAACUGCUUUUGUACAGGAAGAAACACUCCCUCGUGAGGGAGCUUGACGGUACUGUAAGAAUAAGGAUCGGCUAACUCCGUGCCAGCGGCCGCGGUAAUACGGAGGAUCCAAGCGUUAUCCGGAAUCAUUGGGUUUAAAGGGUCCGUAGGCGGUUUAAUAAGUCAGUGGUGAAAUCUGGUCGCUCAACGAUCAA
rnacentral:rRNA from 1 species